rnacentral:rRNA from 1 species
UUAGGGAAUCUUCCACAAUGGACGAAAGUCUGAUGGAGCAACGCCGCGUGAGUGAAGAAGGUUUUCGGAUCGUAAAGCUCUGUUGUUGGUGAAGAAGGAUAGAGGCAGUAACUGGUCUUUAUUUGACGGUAAUCAACCAGAAAGUCACGGCUAACUACGUGCCAG